ACUAAAAAAUACUCUAUGAAAAGGCAUGGGCUUGAACUUCUUGAAACAUGACCAGAGACGUUUGAUGGAGAUCACAAGAAACAAGCAUGGCUUCAAUGCAAAUAUGCAUCCCUGGUGGUUCACGGUGAAUGAGAUUUUGCAGGUCUUAAGAGGCUUUGCUUGCAAACUAUAUGAUUGUCCCUUCUUCCUUUGAGACUUUGGGCAUAUCAUCCACCUGAACUUGAGGGAUGAACAUCUUCCACAUAAGAAUUUUAUAGCCAAGAUUGUUUUGGACAAUAACAUGUCAAAGAUACAAAGAGUUAUCAGUAAGAUUGAUGCCAUCAAUAAUGAUAGGACAUGCUAUCAUGUUGCAUCUACAAACACAAAGGAUUUUUAUAAUUUGGUAGAUGUAUAUCUGGAUGCUGUUUUCUUUCCCAAAUGUGUGGAGGACAUUCAAACUUUUCAACAAGAGGGUUGGCAUUAUGAGUUGAACAACCCUGAAGAAGAAAUAACUUAUAAAGGAAACAAUUGACGGAUUCAUGUAUACGACUUAACUUUGCACAUGAUAAAGAUUUACUUGGCACGUAGCUUUUAAGGAAACUUUUUGAACCAACUAACAAAUUGGGCGGGUCGGGCAGGUGUGGGUCACCUGUUAAAGUGACUUUGGGUCAGAAUGAGUUCAGGUCAAUAUGGUUUAGGAUUAAAAUGAGUUUGGGUUAAGACGGGCUCAGAGCAAAAUGAGUUCGGUUCAUUUAAAAAACUUAUUAAUUAAGAUCGGGUAAACAUGAGUUUGGAGCAAAAUUAAUUCGGGUCAAACAGGUAGUUUAAAAGAAAAACUUUCAAACUUUUGGAAUCUCUUGAAAAAAGUAAAGACCGGAAAAUAGUGCGCGUUGGGUAAUGGUGAAACAGGUGGUUUGAGAUACGGGUUAAAAAGUCUAGAAACCACAAGGCAUGUUUCAGUGAUUAUAAUAACUCUCUACAAACGAACUGAAUACAUCAUCUAUUGGAUAUCAUCCCACAUUAUCAGCUAAUCAGAUGAAAGUGGCAACUGAGUUUGAGUAUCAUGGAGGUAUGUCUUUCUAGGCAUUUGUUUAUCAAGCAUUAAUGAUGAAGAGUGCACGUGUAGCUAAGGAAGUCGAUCACAAGAUUCCUUUAUACAACACAAGUUCCACAGUAUCUUGAGGGUGAGAAUUACGUCUUUUCGGGCGGUCGUGAGGUCAUCAAUGUCUUCUCAAUUCUUUGCAUAAUAGAGCAUUUUUCGUACAGUUGUUCUCAAUGAAAAGGACACGCUUUAGAGAAACAACAAGACAUGGGUGUCGGAAAUGUAGGUUUCGCUCCAGUGGUGAUCGAUUGUGAAGAAAGGUUGUUGCUUGGUCGGAGAAGAAGACUCAAAGGGUAACGCCUCUGCUUCUUUGGGCGUGAAGGAUGGUUGACGUUGAGUUUUUUCGUAUUGGAGCACGUCGGAGAUGAGGGGGGCUUUGGCCGGAUAAGAAAAAGGGUGGGGUGGCACAAGAAUUUGUUGUUCUCUGAGUCUCAAUUUCAUCCCCAACAACUCAAAAAAGGCAUUGAAUUGCCCUUAAGACCUUCCUGUUCACUUGGCGCUGACAUGGCAAUGACUUAUAUUGUUAACCGAUCGCAACUGGCAGUUAUGCAAGGGGGAUUUCUGGAGUUGAAAGUUCUUCAGAUGCAGUAAGAACAGUUAAUU